rnacentral:rRNA from 1 species
CCUACGGGAGGCAGCAGUGGGGAAUAUUGCACAAUGGGCGCAAGCCUGAUGCAGCGACGCCGCGUGAGGGAAGACGGCCUUCGGGUUGUAAACCUCUUUCGCCAGGGACGAAGCGCAAGUGACGGUACCUGGAGAAGAAGCACCGGCCAACUACGUGCCAGCAGCCGCGGUAAUACGUAGGGUGCGAGCGUUGUCCGGAAUUACUGGGCGUAAAGAGCUCGUAGGCGGUUUGUCGCGUCGUCUGUGAAAUUCUGCAGCUUAACUGUAGGCGUGCAGGCGAUACGGGCAGACUUGAGUACUACAGGGGAGACUGGAAUUCCUGGUGUAGCGGUGAAAUGCGCAGAUAUCAGGAGGAACACCGGUGGCGAAGGCGGGUCUCUGGGUAGUUACUGACGCUGAGGAGCGAAAGCGUGGGGAGCAAACAGGAUUAGAUACCCUGGUAGUCCACGCCGUAAACGGUGGGUACUAGGUGUGGGUUCCAUUUCACGGGAUCCGUGCCGUAGCUAACGCAUUAAGUACCCCGCCUGGGGAGUUCGGCCGCAAGGCUAAAACUCAAAUGAAUUGACGG